rnacentral:rRNA from 1 species
UAUGACGUACUUGUACUGAUUGAGAUUUUAACACGAAGUGAGUGGCGAACGGGUGAGUAACACGUGGGUAACCUGCCCAGAAGUAGGGGAUAACACCUGGAAACAGAUGCUAAUACCGUAUAACAGAGAAAACCGCAUGGUUUUCUUUUAAAAGAUGGCUCUGCUAUCACUUCUGGAUGGACCCGCGGCGUAUUAGCUAGUUGGUGAGGUAAAGGCUCACCAAGGCAGUGAUACGUAGCCGACCUGAGAGGGUAAUCGGCCACAUUGGGACUGAGACACGGUCCAGACUCAUACGGGAGGCAGCAGUAGGGAAUCUUCCACAAUGGACGCAAGUCUGAUGGAGCAACGCCGCGUGAGUGAAGAAGGGUUUCGGCUCGUAAAGCUCUGUUGUUAAAGAAGAACGUGGGUAAGAGUAACUGUUUACCCAGUGACGGUAUUUAACCAGAAAGCCACGGCUAACUACGUGCCAGCAGCCGCGGUAAUACGUAGGUGGCAAGCGUUAUCCGGAUUUAUUGGGCGUAAAGCGAGCGCAGGCGGUCUUUUAAGUCUAAUGUGAAAGCCUUCGGCUCAACCGAAGAAGUGCAUUGGAAACUGGGAGACUUGAGUGCAGAAGAGGACAGUGGAACUCCAUGUGUAGCGGUGAAAUGCGUAGAUAUAUGGAAGAACACCAGUGGCGAAGGCGGCUGUCUGGUCUGCAACUGACGCUGAGGCUCGAAAGCAUGGGUAGCGAACAGGAUUAGAUACCCUGGUAGUCCAUGCCGUAAACGAUGAUUACUAAGUGUUGGAGGGUUUCCGCCCUUCAGUGCUGCAGCUAACGCAUUAAGUAAUCCGCCUGGGGAGUACGACCGCAAGGUUGAAA